rnacentral:sRNA from 1 species
ACAGAAACAGAUUCUACCACUGCAUCUCGUAUAAUACGAUAUUUAUCCACUCUCGACAGUUAAAUUUUAAAUAUUUAAAUUUGAAAAUUUAACAUUCUCGAGUGGAUAAAUAUCGUAUCACACUCGAUGCAGUGGUAGAAUCUAUAUAUAU